UACGAAGGGGACUAGCGUUGUUCGGAAUUACUGGGCGUAAAGGGCGCGUAGGCGGCCUGUUAAGUCGAACGUGAAAUCCCCGGGCUCAACCCGGGAACUGCGUCCGAUACUGGCAGGCUUGAAUCCGGGAGAGGGAUGCGGAAUUCCAGGUGUAGCGGUGAAAUGCGUAGAUAUCUGGAGGAACACCGGUGGCGAAGGCGGCAUCCUGGACCGGCAUUGACGCUGAGGCGCGAAAGCCAGGGGAGCGAACGGG
rnacentral:rRNA from 1 species